AGUCGUGUGUACAUCAUUGGGAAUGGAGGGAAAUAAAUGACUGGAUGGUCGCUGCUUUUUAAGUUUCAAAUUGACACUCUAGGCAAGCGGUGCCUGAGCCCGUGCCUGUCUUCAGAUCUUCACAGCACAGUUCCUGGGAAGGUGGAGCCACCAGCCUCUCCCUGACAAGCAAAGUGGAUCAGCAAAGGCUGCAGUCACCAGCAUCUUUUCCAUCCUUAAUUAACUGCAUCCUCAAAAGAACACUAUCAGACUGGCUCUGCCGACUUCCAGUUCUGGAACAAGAUGGUUAAACUCAUUUUUCCCUGCUCUGCUCCUCUAAAUACAACUAAGUACCUUGGAAACUAUUCAGCACACAAUGAUAAAGAGCUCUGAAAGCUAGAAGAAAAGAAGGUGUACUUGCAAGAAACCUCAGGACUUGAGUAACAGCAACAUGGCAGGCCAGAAAAGAGACCCAGGGAGGUUAGCCCAUGUCUUCGGCUACACUGGUGAAGGCAUCAUGCCUGCUCCACACCACAUUUUUAUUCAAGUCUUGGACGAGACUGAGGAUGUCUACAAGUGGAAGAAAAGCCACUGGAGCAGAAGGUGGGGAGGAUAAAAUUUGGAGCAAGAUUCUCAAGGAAGAAGCAACAAGAUCCUAAGGAAACGAGAGAGACCACCUACUGCAUUUCUGUUACUCGCUGAAAAGGACAGUCUGUCAGAGAAUCUUCUAGCAAACUUCAAAGGGCAAAAUCACCCCUUGUUACGGAUAAAGCCCAGAGAACUUCAGCAGCUAACAUUCCCUAGACAGGACACAGCAAGGAUUUGAACCUAGGCCAGGCUGGCCAGAACACCCAAAAGCUUUCCUUAACUCAGUGUGCUAUCUCCCCAUGACUAGGUCACUACUGCUUUAUAAUCACCUUUGUAGCCAGCAGUGGAUUUUGCUCAUCAGUAUUUUUCAGGUAAUUGAUAGUUUAGAUGUUCAGCUGCAAGACGUAUGCAGUUUUCAUUGACAUCUUUUGAAGAAACUGACAAACCUGGACUUGACUUAAUGACUUUGGAACCUUCCAAGAUGUUAUAUAACUCUAGAUAGAAGGCUGGGCUUCCACAAUGUCAGGAAUGUUGCAUUCUUAUUUCCCCAUAGAUAAACCCAUUUGUCCACAAAGUCAAGGAGUCAGGCAGAGGCCCUUGCCAUGGGGCUUUUUAGGAUAGAGUAACAAGCUUGGACUUUGCUCUAUGACAGGGUUUUGCAUUGGGAGUGGUAUGACCAGAUCCCUCAAGAAAGAAAGGUUAGAGACCAGGCCAGAGUCCACUGCAGUAGCCCAGUCAAGAGAGGCUGGUGACUUGGACUUUUAGUAGAGCCAGUUAGAAUGAAAGAAAUUGACACAUUCAGAAAUGGUUUUAGAGGUAGAGUCAAACUGGACCUGAUAAAGAACUAGAGAAGCGGAGUGAGGAUAAAGAGAAGAGCCAUGACUGACUCGGAAGAUUUUGUCUUGAAAAACUUGAGAACUCAAGACAGAGUGAAAUAAAAUCACAUGUGGGAAAAA
rnacentral:lncRNA from 1 species